rnacentral:rRNA from 1 species
CAGGUGGGCAGUUUGACUGGGGCGGUCGCCUCCCAAAAGGUAACGGAGGCGCUCAAAGGUUCGCUCAGUACGGUCGGAAAUCGUACGUAGAGUGUAAAGGCAAAAGAGAGCUUGAUUGCAAGACAUACAGGUCGAGCAAGGAUGAAAAUCGGACUUAGUGAUCCGGUGGUUCUGCGGGGAAGGGCCAUCGCUCAACGGAUAAAAGCUACCCUGGGGAUAACAGGCUUAUCUCCCCCAAGAGUCCACAUCGACGGGGAGGUUUGGCACCUCGAUGUCGGCUCAUCACAUCCUGGGGCUGUAGUAGGUCCCAAGGGUUGGGCUGUUCGCCCAUUAAAGUGGUACGCGAGC